rnacentral:rRNA from 1 species
CCGGCACGGGUGAGUAACACGUAUCCAACCUGCCGUCUACUCUUGGCCAGCUCUGAAGAAGAUUAAUCCAGGAUGGCAUCAUGAGUUCACAUGUCCGCAUGAUUAAAGGUAUUUCCGGUAGACGAUGGGGAUGCGUUCCAUUAGAUAGUAGGCGGGGUAACGGCCCACCUAGUCAACGAUGGAUAGGGGUUCUGAGAGGAAGGUCCCCCACAUUGGAACUGAGACACGGUCCAA